rnacentral:rRNA from 1 species
UACGGAGGGGGCUAGCGUUGUUCGGAAUUACUGGGCGUAAAGCGCGCGUAGGCGGCUUAGCAAGUUAGAGGUGAAAGCCCGGAGCUUAACUCCGGAAUUGCCUUUAAAACUGCAAAGCUAGAAUCAUGGAGAGGUGAGUGGAAUUCCGAGUGUAGAGGUGAAAUUCGUAGAUAUUCGGAAGAACACCAGUGGCGAAGGCGACUCUCUGGGCAAUUCCUGACACUGAGGCACGAAGGCCAGGGGAGCAAACGGG